rnacentral:rRNA from 1 species
AGAGUUUGAUCAUGGCUCAGGACGAACGCUGGCGGCACGCUUAACACAUGCAAGUCGAACGAGAGAAGAGGAGCUUGCUUUUCUGAUCUAGUGGCGGACGGGUGAGUAACACGUGAGCAAUCUGCCUUUCAGAGGGGGAUACCGAUUGGAAACGAUCGUUAAUACCGCAAAACAUAAUUGAACCGCAUGAUUUGAUUAUCAAAGAUUUAUCGCUGAAAGAUGAGCUCGCGUCUGAUUAGCUAGUUGGUAAGGUAACGGCUUACCAAGGCGACGAUCAGUAGCCGGACUGAGAGGUUGAUCGGCCACAUUGGGACUGAGACACGGCCCAGACUCCUACGGGAGGCAGCAGUGGGGAAUAUUGCACAAUGGAGGAAACUCUGAUGCAGCGAUGCCGCGUGAGGGAAGAAGGUUUUAGGAUUGUAAACCUCUGUCUUCAGGGACGAAAAAAGACGGUACCUGAGGAGGAAGCUCCGGCUAACUACGUGCCAGCAGCCGCGGUAAUACGUAGGGAGCCAGCGUUGUCCGGAAUUACUGGGUGUAAAGGGAGCGUAGGCGGGAUCGCAAGUCAGAUGUGAAAACUAUGGGCUUAACCCAUAAACUGCAUUUGAAACUGCGGUUCUUGAGUGAAGUAGAGGUAAGCGGAAUUCCUAGUGUAGCGGUGAAAUGCGUAGAUAUUAGGAGGAACAUCAGUGGCGAAGGCGGCUUACUGGGCUUUAACUGACGCUGAGGCUCGAAAGCGUGGGGAGCAAACAGGAUUAGAUACCCUGGUAGUCCACGCCGUAAACGAUGAUUACUAGGUGUGGGGGGACUGACCCCUUCCGUGCCGCAGCAAACGCAAUAAGUAAUCCACCUGGGGAGUACGACCGCAAGGUUGAAACUCAAAGGAAUUGACGGGGGCCCGCACAAGCAGUGGAGUAUGUGGAUUAAUUCGAAGCAACGCGAAGAACCUUACCAGGUCUUGACAUCGUAUGCAUAGCUCAGAGAUGAGUGAAAUCUCUUCGGAGACAUAUAGACAGGUGGUGCAUGGUUGUCGUCAGCUCGUGUCGUUAGAUGUUGGGUUAAGUCCCGCAACGAGCGCAACCCUUACUGUUAGUUGCUACGCAAGAGCACUCUAGCAGGACUGCCGUUGACAAAACGGAGGAAGGUGGGGAUGACGUCAAAUCAUCAUGCCCCUUAUGACCUGGGCCUCACACGUACUACAAUGGCUGUCAACAGAGGGAAGCAAAGCCGCGAGGUGGAGCGAACCCCUAAAAGCAGUCUUAGUUCGGAUUGUAGGCUGCAACCCGCCUACAUGAAGUCGGAAUUGCUAGUAAUCGCAGAUCAGCAUGCUGCGGUGAAUACGUUCCCGGGCCUUGUACACACCGCCCGUCACGCCAUGGGAGUCGGUAACACCCGAAGCCUGUAGUCUAACCGCAAGGAGGACGCAGUCGAAGGUGGGAUUGAUGACUGGGGUGAAGUCGUAACAAGGUA